CACAUUCCAAGAGGGUGCCGGGAUCAAAUGGAAAAAUUAGCCAACGGCCUAAGACGAGGCUAUCCCUUCCUUCCCCUAGAAUGUCACUCCCACAUUCACACACAAAAACAUUUUUAUACACAUAGUCUCUAUGAACAAAACUAAUUGCAAUGCUUUUACCACACAAGAUGUUCAAAGAGUCAUGUGCAUUAUCAAGAUCAAUUCUACAGACAUCAUAACUAACUUGAGAAUUUUUAAGCACACUAUUCACAUGCUCAAGUAGUGAACUACAUUUAAGAGUAAAUUGAUCAUCAUGUACACCAAGAGUACU
rnacentral:lncRNA from 1 species